UACGAAGGGGGCUAGCGUUGCUCGGAAUCACUGGGCGUAAAGCGCACGUAGGCGGAUCUUUAAGUCAGGGGUGAAAUCCUGGAGCUCAACUCCAGAACUGCCUUUGAUACUGGGGAUCUCGAGUCCGGAAGAGGUGAGUGAAACUCCGAGUGUAGAGGUGAAAUUCGUAGAUAUUCGGAAGAACACCAGUGGCGAAGGCGGCUCACUGGUCCGGUACUGACGCUGAGGUGCGAAAGCGUGGGGAGCAAACAGG
rnacentral:rRNA from 1 species